rnacentral:lncRNA from 1 species
AUGCAGAACCCCCAGACCCCUUUAUUCAGGCUUACUCUCCAGCAGAUGGGAGGUACUGCUGUGACAUCUCAACUGCAGCUGAAGAUAUUCAAUCUGAGACAUAAAAAAAAGAAUAGUGCAAUGUUGUGGGAUAAACAUCUAGAGCAGUAAGAGCCUUAUUGACUCUCUUGAAAUGCAGGAAAAAGUCCUGGUCUGCAGCUGCCAAAGAAUUCUUUAGCUGAACUUGGCAUUAGGCAGCACUAGCUCCUGAUCAAGCUCCUGGCUGUUUGGCAGGAAACACUCUUCACUCAACGGGUUCCAUAAAGAUGUUUUGGGGUGUUUAUUCCCUCAAAGAUGUGCGUAUCACUAUAAUAUUUAUGCUUGUUUUUCCGGGGAAGCUGUCUACCUUAAGAUCUCAGUUACAGCUCUGUCUUCCUCCUUCAAGACUGGUCAGUGUUCAAAACUAAAAACAAAAAAUAAAAAAAAAUAAAAAAAAAAAAUUAAAAAAAUA